AUUGCCCUAGUAACGGCGAGUGAAGCGGCAACAGCUCAAAUUUGAAAUCUGGCCCUCGGGUCCGAGUUGUAAUUUGUAGAGGAUGUUUUUGGUGCGGUACCUUCCGAGUUCCCUGGAACGGGACGCCAUAGAGGGUGAGAGCCCCGUCUGGUUGGAUGCCAAACCUCUGUAAAACUCCUUCGACGAGUCGAGUAGUUUGGGAAUGCUGCUCUAAAUGGGAGGUAUAUGUCUUCUAAAGCUAAAUAUUGGCCAGAGACCGAUAGCGCACAAGUAGAGUGAUCGAAAGAUGAAAAGCACUUUGAAAAGAGAGUUAAAAAGCACGUGAAAUUGUUGAAAGGGAAGCGCUUAUGACCAGACUUGGACUUGGUUGAUCAUCCGGCGUUCUCGCCGGUGCACUCUUCCGGUUCAGGCCAGCAUCAGUUUGCUCCGGGGGAUAAAGGCUUUGGGAAUGUGGCUCCCUCGGGAGUGUUAUAGCCCAUUGUGUAAUACCCUGGAACAGACUGAGGUACGCGUUCUGCAAGGAUGCUGGCGUAAUGGUCAUCAACGACCCGUCUUGAAACACGGACCAAGGAGUCGUCUUCGUAUGCGAGUGUUCGGGUGUCAAACCCCUACGCGUAAUGAAAGUGAACGCAGGUGAGAGCUUCGGCGCAUCAUCGACCGAUCCUGAUGUUCUCGGAUGGAUUUGAGUAAGAGCAUACGGGGCCGGACCCGAAAGAAGGUGAACUAUGCCUGUGUAGGGUGAAGCCAGAGGAAACUCUGGUGGAGGCUCGCAGCGGUUCUGACGUGCAAAUCGAUCGUCAAACAUGGGCAUGGGGGCGAAAGACUAAU
rnacentral:rRNA from 1 species